rnacentral:rRNA from 1 species
AUACAGAGGGUGCGAGCGUUAAUCGGAUUUACUGGGCGUAAAGCGCGCGUAGGUGGCUAAUUAAGUCAAAUGUGAAAUCCCCGAGCUUAACUUGGGAAUUGCAUUCGAUACUGGUUAGCUAGAGUAUGGGAGAGGAUGGUAGAAUUCCAGGUGUAGCGGUGAAAUGCGUAGAGAUCUGGAGGAAUACCGAUGGCGAAGGCAGCCAUCUGGCCUAAUACUGACACUGAGGUGCGAAAGCAUGGGGAGC